AUGCCCCUGCCCCCCUCCAGCAACCCGCGCCACCUCACGCGGGGGCACCCACGUAAUUUCCCCCAGGGCCAGGGCGGCCUAUCUGGCCAGCCCAUUAUAUAUCGCUCUCAUGGCACCGUGGCUCAUGUACUGCUGCCCAUUGAUAGGCUGGUGAUCACUGCUGUCGAGAGGAACUACGCAUCCAUCCCUUCCGCCCCCAGCUACCUCGCUUGCUCCACGCGUCGUCUUUGA
rnacentral:rRNA from 1 species